GCUCUUUUCUGCUGUGGAAACGUAACCAGUAUUGGCGGAGUUCUUUUCCUGAAUGCAUAUACAGUAAUGGGCAUACAACUAACUCUAUUGUUUAAAUGUUUCUUGGCAGCCUACUGUUGUUAUUUACUUGAAACAUUAUUUUAGUGGGAUGAAUCUGCCUGCUGUAUGAAUUGUGAAGUUGCAGAUAUGUCCAGUGAAACUGAUUCUGGAGGUCGACCUUCAGCAACGACUGUUAGUACAGUAGCUGUCCAAACAGGAGACUCAAGAAUUGUAGUAGCUAUACUAAAGUCUGGAACAUGUGUGGAACUUCAGCUUGUUGAAUCAAAACCAAAUCUACUUGAAAUUGGCAGUAAUCUGGAUGAAACCAAGAAAUUACUGAACGAACAUGAAAUACUUCUGGUUAAACUAAAGGCGCAUGAAGAAGGUGUUAAGGAUUUGCUUCAUGAAGCUGACAAAACAGCAGAGGCCCAUAAAGACCAGAGUCAAUUGUAUGAUGAGAUGGGAAAAACUCUGGGAGAGAACUGGACAGCCCUCAACCAACUGCUUGAAAAUCGCAAGAAACUUUUAAAAUUGGCUUCUGAAUUCUUUGAUCAUGCUUUGGAGUUUGCUAUAAAAAUUGAUGAAGCUGAAGAAUUUCUGAACAGUGCUCAGAUACUUGAGGACCUGGAAUCGUUAAAGCAACUUCUUUAUCAUCAUCAACAUGUUAAGAAAGUUCUUUUAACAAACUCAAUGGUUCUUCUUAACAAAAGUCAAGAACUUGUCACCAUAAUCAAAGAGUUUAAGGCACCUGGAUCUAAAAUAAAUUCUGAAUUAAUUCAUGGGGCUCAGAGCAGCCGCAUGAAAAUUGAGAAUCUAAUGGAAAUGCUGCAGGACAGGAGGAGACAAUUGGAGGAGCAAUCCCAUUACCAGCGGUGCAGUCUGGAGCAGAUACUGCAAAUGUAUCAGUGGGAGCAGCAGGCAGAUGAGGUGAUACAGUGGUUCCAGCACCACGGUGAGACGUAUUUACAGAAUGAGCAACUGGGCUCCUCCCUGACUGAAAAUGAACAGCUGCUGCAAGAGCACCAAGAGCUUGAGAGGAAAGCCAAGGAAUUCACCUCUGUCAUUGAAAGAUUGAAAACUGAGGCCGAUGAGAUGAUGCUUAAUGCAGAGGUCACAGAAAAUGAACAGCUGGCGUUUCUAAAUCAGAAACUGAAGCCAAUGUGUGAGGAGUUCUGGCUCCUCAUGAAGGAUCGAGAAACAUUGCUUCAAGAGGCCCAUCAUUUUUUUGGCAGUGCAAAUACGGGGUUUGAUGUACUUGGAGGCGUAGAGAACCAGUUGAAUCAACUCAAUUUUAAGGCUCUUGGUUUGCCAGAACUCGCUAAAGAACAUAAGAUUCUGUGCCAGGCAAUCGAGGAUGCAACUUCAGAUGCUCUACUGAAGGGACAAAUGCUCCUGAGUAAAGUUGACAUUCAGAGGGCUGUUGGAAUUCAGGAGAUGAUUGGCUACAUUCAACAGAGAGUAGGUCAACUGACUGAACAAUGCUUUGCUGAUAAGGAAUUAGCUUCAAAGAAACAGCAACUGGCUGCUUCAUUUGAUGAUCAUAUUGAAAAGGUCUCAGGAUAUCUUCAGGCAUGCAGAUCUCAACUUUCCAGUCAGUUGGAGCCUGGUUCCUGUCUCUCUGAAUCUGAAGAUGUUCUGAACAAAUACCUGGAACUGUCUGAUCAAAUCAAGGUGAUAGCAAAUGAAUUAAAACAUAUUGAAGACAUCAUUGUACAGGCAGAAACAUUUGAAGUCCCAGAAGCAAUAUCUUUUUCUGAAAAGCUUAUUACUCUGAAUGCCGAAUGGAAAGGAUUGUGUUGGAAUUUGAAUGCGCGAGUUGAGCACUUACAGCAUUAUGUGUCCUUUCUGAAACAAGCUGAGGAGGUUGAAACAUCUAUGAAAAGCUUUGAAGAUUGUUACCAGUCUCCGACUAUAAAAGACAGCGAAGAAACUGCUAGGUCAGUGUUAGAGCUUGCUGAUUCCAAAUGGCAAUUGGUCCUUAAGAACUUCCUUGUUCUCCAAGACCUGAUAUUCAACUUUAGGAGUGCAAUAAGCAUGAAGGAUGAAAAUUUGAAUUUAAACUUAAAAAAGUCAGUGACUGUACUUGACAAUACUAUUGAUCUAUUAGACAAGAGAAAAUUGAAUCUCACGGAACAGUGGACAAGUUGCCAACUUCAUUUAAACCAAAUUAAGUCAGUCAAAAAACAGUGGAAGAAAUUCAAAGAGGAGCUUAAAAAGACAAUUCAUGGUUUGAAAAUGCUGGAAGAUGACCUUAUUCCAAAGUCUAAUUUUGACCUUGGUUGCAAUCCUGAGGCGAUUAUGAAAUUGCACAAUAAGUUCAACAAAGCAAAACCACAAUUACAACAUUUGAAUGCUGAGGUGGAAUACAGAACAAAAACAGCUGAGCUUUGGACACUGAAAGGUGUUUCUACAAAGGAAAGAAAUGAAAAAAUGAUGGACUUCCUUAAACUUCAUCAUCAAGUAAACAAUAAAAUAAAAGAUUAUGAAAUGGUCCUACAGAUGGCAAUUAAAUUUCAUCAGACCAUGCAAGAGCUUGAGGAGAUGAUGAAGUCAGGAGAACUAGAAUAUCCUGAAACAUUAAUAAUCCCUGACGACAGCAAUCAAGCAAAAAUCCAACUCCGGCAACAUCAAGAAAAACAAACACACGUGUGCCAUUUGUAUAAAUUGUCCCUCACAUUAGCAAUGGACAUCAUCUCCAUUGCACAGAAUUCCAAAUUCAUUCAAGCCUCAAUAGACUCUCUUCAGCAAAAACGGGAAGCUUUAGAGAGUGGCAAUAUUGAGUGGAGUGCGAAGGCAUAUCAACAUGGAGAAGAAUUGGUAACAAUUUUGCAUCACUGUACCACAAAAGAAGAAAUAAGUGAGUUAAAGGAAUCUUAUAAAGACCUCAAGAGGAAGUUUAACAACUUGAAAUUUAAUAAUGUGAAAAAAAAUGAAAAACUUCGGAAUAUGAAAGUCAUCAGCAAUCAAGUCCAGCAAGUUGAAAUGUACAUUGAAAAAAUUGAGAUCUUGAAAAAGAAAACAUUUCAGUAUGUGACAAAAGUCAGUACAGUUCGAGAAAAGCAGAUCCCCAAAGCAGAAGUAAAUCCAUUUGAAGAAUCCCUGAAUGAAUUAUUGAAAGAGGUCAAUGAACUUGACAAGACAGUGGAGGAAUACAAACAAAACUUGGAUAAGACUUUGCAUUUGCAGCAGGCAAUGGAAGAGAGCCAGUUCUGGUGCGAUGACACAAGUGGUACAGUAGUUAGAGUUGGAAAGUAUUCUGCUGAGUGCAAGACAAAGGAAGCAGUGGAAAUUCUCCUCGAGCAGUUUGAAAAGUUUGUAUUGCCUACUGUACCGCAACAGGAGGAGCGAAUCCAGCAAAUCACAGAAUUGGCAAAACAACUAUAUGGUCCUGAAGAACCAAAGAAAAUUGUGAAGCAAAUAGUAAGAAAACAUAGUGAAAUCCUUGAAUCAAUAAAGGAACUAAUCAAUGGUUUAAGAGAUCUUGAAUCAAAACUGAAUAACGUGGCGGAUUCCAAUAAUUUCAUCCAAUCCUCACACGUAGAUCCAGAUUUGCAAAUUACACAUCAAACAAUGGAGCAGCCUGAGCAAGAAAAGGCGAUUAAGGCUUCACCAAAAUCUACUGUGGAGUCAGCUCAAGUGGUAAAAGAGAACAAAGAACUAAAGUUGGCUUCUAUGCAUGUGUCAGACCACUGUCGUGUUCUUGGAUUACCCACUGAAGAUAACCAGGGAAAAAGAGAUAAAUUGAAGAUCCAAAGAGGCAUAAAUUCUCAGUGUUCUACUGCCAUUUUGACCCAGCCGUUUAAAAUUAAGCUUUCUCAGACAAAAAAAGCUUUCCCUACAAAUUAUUUCUCUGAUACAGAAAGAAGAGUUUUUGCUCUUCAGCUUGCAAAAAACCCAGAAGAACACACAAAACAUUCCACUGGAAAUUUUGCAAACCACUCGCAUGUUUCCCAGUCAAAUUUUCCCAAAGAGUGUCAAGUAGAAGAAACUGAAAAUGAAGGAAAAUUGGAUAGUCAGCCCAUCCAAGAACAGCAAUUUCCACACGACCAUGAAAUUUCAAAAGUUAACUUGGAUGGAUUCGUGAGCAGUGAAAUUACAGAUUUAGCUGCAGAAGAUCUAAAUUCACAAGAAGCUAUCGAGUUACUUCAUCUUUCCACUGAAGGCAGCACUGUCACAGAGGGAGAUCUACAAAAUGAACUUUCUGCAGAUGAAAUGCUGUCUGUAGAAGAAUAUGAAUGUAUGUCACCCGAUGACAUCUCCUUGCCUCCACUUCCUGAUACUCCUGAAUCAAUUUUCAUGUAUUCUGAAACGGAAGUGGACAAAACCUCCAACCUAAGUUUCCACAGUCCGCACGCUAGGCCAUACAGUGGCCAGCCACAGAAGCAAAUAAGCUGUGGCAGAAUGACUGACACAUUUGAACCUUCAGCACCUGUUACCUCUGCUGAUAAAUGGAAUCUCUCAGGACCAUGCAGUGAAUCAGAAUAUCAUCAGGCAUCUGAUCCAAAUCCCCGUGUUAAACCCUGCACUAAAUACAGAUCUGAGUCUUCCUCUUUUAUUCACAGCCCACUGACAAUCCCUGCCCCGAGUAUUGUUUCAAACACGCUUUCACAUAUUUUAAAAUCCAAGAUGGUACCUAAUUCAUCAGUUUGUGAUUCUAACUGUAAAGUGCAUGAGAGACAACUGCAGACUUAUGACAUGCAUGAGAGUGUAACAACCACCCAGACGUCACUGCAUGAUGCUAAUAACGAUUGUUUUGGAGAAGAAAUUAGUUCUAACAGAAAUAAUUUGUGUACUUUAUCCGGAACACUAACAGUACCCCAAAAUUUACAAAAAUCAGUGAGUGAUACAAGUCACCACACGGAUAUUGUCAUCCACAAAGAAAUCAGACGUACAUCAAGAAAUACAGCCAUGUGCAACCUGGCUUGCACUACUCCCAACUUCUCCAAGUUGAUGUCUAAUGUCAGUGUGGUAGAAGGUUCUCCUGUGACCUUGGAAAUCGAAGUAACAGGACUCCCAGAACCAACUUUGACAUGGUGGGUAACCUAUAACAGCAACCCUAGUAUGCACAAGUAAAAUUGCUUCUAAUUGUUAUCAUUUUAUUUAAUAUUAAUAAAUAGCUAAUUGGCAUGAGCCAAUGUCAACAUUGAUCUGUUAUUUUUGUAGUUAUUGCAGUAUAGUUCCCAGAUAAAGUAAAAGAAUUUAAUACGUUGCUUAGACAAAUUUUAAAAGGACUUUAUAGAAAAUGUGAGAAUGUUGAUGCGUGAUUAUUUAUUGUGCAAGUGUCCAGCAACGCACAAAGUUACAUACAAAUUAAAUGACUAACAACCCUUUUUUUUUGCUAGCCAUUAGGAAUUUGAUAAAUGGACAGUGAUUGAUUAAGUAAAGGUAAUGAAGGGCAGUGAAAAGGGUUUUAAUGAAAUGUUUGAUGUGUAUAAAGAAAAUAGGAAUUACCUUUACAUUCCAAAAUGGUUUUGAAACGUUUUGGCAGAUAAGAGCCAGGCCUCAUUCUGCUUAGAAUGCUCCAACCAGCAACAGGUUACUUCUACUUUUCUUGGUAUAAAGAGUAAGGUUGCAUGAGGGGAAAAGCCAGAGUGGGAACGUGCUUCUUCAAAAUGUGUAGCAAAGACAAAAGUGUCUGGGUUGUUAAGCUGAGUGAUGGCCUCAAAAUGGUCAUGUCAAAUAGAAGCCCAAAGAUGAAACAUCUGGAGUUUGAAUGUGCUGUUGGGAGUUACCUUCUCCCCAAAUGUGGAUGCAAGAGAUAACAGGGAGAUGGUGAGUUUGGGCAGUACAAGAAGAUGAUGAGUGACAAUGUGAUUACGAUGAUGGGAGAAGAGAGCCAUUGAAUUAAUAAGGUUGUGAAGAGGUCAUUAGGUAAGUUGAUAAUUAUGGAGCAACUAAAGCAGAAGAUAUAAAGAGGGUGAAUUCAAAUGGGCGAUGACAAGGUAAGUUGAAAUGGGGGUUGAAGUCAUUAAGGGGAAAAAAUCACCUGAUGUAGAACCUCAUCAGGGAAAGAGAUGGGGUUUGGUUGGAUGGGUUGUGGUUGGAUUUUGAAAGAAACAUAAAAUAGACGAUGAGUGUCAAAAUAAAGGAAGGUGUAUAACAGUCACAGACCGAUGUAAGAUUUGGUAAGAGAGAUAAAUCUAGUAAAUAUUCCUUUCACUCACUUUAAAACAUAUUCUUUUAUACCAAGGAGACCAAAACUGUGUGUUGUAUUUCAGGUGUGAUCUCACCAAAUUGCCACAACACUUUGAAAAUUAAAAACAUUGUAGAUGCUAUCAAUCUUAAAACAAAAAAGAAAAUGCUGGCACACUCAACAAGUCAGGCAGCACCUGUGGACGGAAAAACAGAAUUAUAACGAAUCUGAAACAUUAACUCUUUUUCUCUUUCCACAGAUACUGCUUGACCAGCCGGCAACUUCCAGUAUUUUCUGUUUUUGCCACAAUAUUUUAUUAGGCUUACAAUACAACUCUGUUGCAAUAAAGUGUAACCAUUUGCCUCUUUAACUACUUGCUGUACCGCUAUAUUAACUUCUUGAGAUCUGAAUAUAAAUUCCAAUGAAUAUCAGCAUUUAUGACUUUCAUGUUUUAAAAAAUAUUUUGCUUUAACAUUCUUCCUAUCAAAAUGGAUAACUUAACUUUCCUCACAUUUGUCACAUUGUCACAUUUGGUGCUGUCACUUUGCAGCUGAUAUAAUCAUUUACACAAUUUACUUUGUUAACUAUCUUUGUAUCAUUAUGAAACUGGGGUACCUCAGGCUGAAUCCCCUCAUUGAGUCAUUUAAAAGGAUGCCAAGUUAUUGAUACCCAAACACUAUCAAUUAUAAUCUGAUUUUCAAUUUUUAACUAAUAAGCAAUCUGUAAUUCUUGUUAUUAUAUUACACCCAAUCCUACCAGCCCUAAUUUGGGUUCCUUUUGGGAUAUGAUUUUCCUUUAUCUACGCACUUAUAUAACCAUUUUGACUUCAAAGCAUAACAUUCGCUGAAUGCUUUACUGUCUUGAAAUAAAAUGCUAUGACUGUUUGCUAGGACAUAAAUAUAUAUUAUUUUACAGUCCAUUUUCAUUCAGUUCAUUCAAAUUUGAAGGACCCUAAUUUUUCUAUUUAUUUCUAAAAGUUUUGUGUUCGUUUUCUAAGGUCUGCACAAAAACCUGAGAGUCUGCAAUUUACAACAGAAGUCUUUAAUGUUUCACUCAAUGCUGGCAGCAAGACUCGUCACA